AGCUAUAUAUUAAAGAGAUUUAUUUAUAUAAAUAGGUUUGCAAGCUGAUUGUGUAUAUACGCAGGCCAAUGCUUCUAAUUUCAUAGCAAGCUCGCUUGCUAUGAAAUAGGCAACCAGUAAUAUAAGCAAGUGUGUGCUAUUUAUAGCGCUAGCCUACAAACCUAUAAUUAUAUUAACUCUAAGAGAAAUUUAAUAAUAAACGAAGUGAAUUGAAAUAUCUUAGUAACUUUAGGAAAAGAAAUCAAAAGAGAUUCUAUGAUUAGCGUGAGCUAAAAUAGACUAGCCUAAAAAGUCAAAUGGUGGAUAAACUGUUUAAAUUAAAUGGGGAACCUUCCUCAAAGGCUAAAUAUAAUAUAUAAGCGAUAGUGGAAAGUACCGUGAGGGAACCAAAACAAAAACAGUGAUUUUAUAAGCAGUUCGGGAAAAUAAAAAAAAGUUAGAACGUACCUUUUGCAUAAUGGGUCACCAAGUUAACAUUAGAUGCGAGUAGGAGGCUUUGCCCGUGCAUACGUAGUUAAACCGAGCGUUAAAAUAACGGUAAGUAUCUAAAGUUAGACCCGAAGCCUGGUGAUUUUACCAUAAUCAGGAUUAUAAAAGUCCGAACGGAAUAUUGUAGCAUAAAUAUCCGAAGAAUUAUGGUAGGUGUAGUGAAAGACAAUACUGACCAGGAUAGCUGGUUUUCUGCGAAACCUAUAACAGUAGGCAAUUUAAGUAUAAUAUCUUAGCAGGUACAGAAUUUAAUCUCAGACAAGACAUAAGGCUUAGCUUGCUAGCAAGUAAAGCUCAUGUUUUAUUUUGUACAAAUUGGGGGAUCAUGAAGAUUUUAUCAGUGAGUAUGUAGACUCGGAAUGGCAAAGAUAUAUCUUAAAUCAUCAGACAUAGAAUGAUAAGGUUGUAUGUCAAAAGGGAAACAGCCCAGAACAAGAGUUAAGGUUCCUAAAUUAUUAGUUGAGUGAAAUUAAGAAGGUUUUUAUUAAAGUCGACAAGGAGAUAGGCUUAGAAGCAGCCAUAAUUUUAUGACCUCGUAACAGAGCGCUUGUUAAGUUUUAAAAGCAUCGAAAAUUUAUCGGAUCUAAACAAUAUACCGAAACCUUGUCCAUAUUAUUUUAUAAUUAAAGCUUAAUUAUAAUUAAAUGGGGUAGCAGAACGUUGAGCUAAAUUAAGAUUUUUAUUUUUUAAAUGAAAUUAUAAUAAUUUAACUCAAGUGAUAAUGGUGACAUGAGUAACUAAAAGAAAAAAUAAAAUUUUUCCGCCUAAAGCUUAUGGAUGUAAUUAAGUAACGGCCUCUAAGUUUAUAUUAUCUAAAGAUUUAAACGAUGAGAUAAUCUUUUGUACUAAGGACGACAUUUUAAGUGAAAAAUGUACUGGAAAAAUAGUACUAAAUUAAUGGCUAUAGCUAAUUAGUUAGCUAUAGCUAUAAAUGAAAAGUAACCGUACCUAGAAUCUGAAACAAGUAAGCUAGUAGAGAAUACGAAGGCGUAAAUGAGCUAACAAUCAUAAAGGAACUCGGCAAAUUGACUACCGUAACUUCGGGAUAAGGAGAGCUCAUUAUUCUUGAUUAAUAUCAGGUAAAGAGGAAGAAGCAUGAAAUAGUGUUGUACGACUGUUUAAUUAAAACACAGCACUUUGCUGAAAGAUUAAAAAUCUAAGUAUAGAGUGUGAUGUCUGCCCGGUGCCGGCUGGUUAACAGAUAUAAUUAAAUAUACUAAUAUUUGAUGUAGACGGAAACCCCGGUUAAAGGCGGCCUUAACGUGAGGGUCCUAAGGUAGCGAAAUGCCUUGGCCGUUAAAUGCGGUCUUGCAUGAAUGAUGUAACGAUACAACAGCUGUCUCUAUGAUUGACUCAGUGAAAUUGGAAUAGCUGUGCAGAUACAGUUUACCUCUAGUUAGACGAGAAGACCCUAUGCAGCUUUACUGUCACUAAUUAUAGAGUAUGAUAAACAAUUUUCAGAUUAUAAGGUAAUUGACGGCUAGCUUGUUCAUCAAGCUAGCUCUAUGACAAUGAGAAUCCUUUAUUUUUUUUUCAUAUGAAUGAAUUGGUUUAGGAUUAUGAGUAGGUAGCUGCUUCUGCUACUUGGCGCAAGCAUUGCUUGCGUCAGGUGUCUGAAGUAUGCAUUCCAGCUCAUGCAUAGUAAAUCAACCUAAUUCAGCUUAUUUUCCUUUCUGCCAUAAGCGCAUAAUGAUAGAUUUAACUUAAAUUUUGAUUUAUGCCAGCUGCAGAAAUAGAUAAGUACCCUUGGCUAAGGAACUAUCGCUAGGGGACAGUUUAUGUGGGGCACAGACCCUGUAAAGAGUAAACAGGAGUGUCUAAUAAUUUAUAAUUAUUUUGUUUGCGAUUUAAGAUAGUGAAACUAUUUUUAAUCAUAUAAAAUUAUUUAUAUGUACAUUCGUUGUAUAUAUAUUUAAAAAAAGGUAGGAUUUUCACUAUAUAGAAAUUAGAGAUAAUAAAAAUAUUAAGAAUAUACGAAGGUAGCACUAAUAUUUUUUAGCUAUUAAGACAGGCUAUCAAGCUAGGCUCUAAUAGUUAUGUAUUAAUUAUCUAAAAAGCUCAACGGCUAAAUCUUGCCUUACUGUUUGAUUAUCAACAAAUCUUACAGUUGCGUAAGCAGGGCAUAGGAUCACAAGAUGCAACAAGGAAAGAUCUUGGAUUAUUGGAAAAGCUACGCUAGGGAUAACAGGCUAAUUUGCGCAAGAGUGUACAAAAUGAGUGCGCGGUUUGGCACCUCGAUGUCGGCUUAACUUAUCCUCAUGGAUGCAGGAACUAUGUAGGGUGCGACUGUUCGUCGAUUAAAAAGUUACAUGAGCUGGGUUAAAUACGUCGUGAGACAGUAUGGUUUCUAUCUUCUAGGGGGAAUUAGAAUAUAAUAAGAACUAACUUUUGUACGAAAGGAACAAGAAGAAUUUAAUUUGUAAAAGGGUUAAAUAAUAGUUACUAACCUAUGGUUUACCUGUUGUCUAUGUGCCCAAAUAUUAAAAUAUAUAUGGAGGAAGCUCCUUAAGAGCUUCCCCCGCAAAUUAUAUAUAUCUGUAUAGCUAGCCUGCGGACUCCGGUUAUGCCAGAGUUUGGUAAGCUAAAGCUAUACAUAGGGAUGUUUCUUUCACUAAGAUAAAUAUAUAGCAUAGGCACGGCAGGAAAGCUAAGUUGGUUAAGGAUAAGUGCUGAAAGCAUAUAGGCACGAAGCUUAUCUUAAGAUAUUUCUUAAAUAUACGUAAAAUAUUAUUACGAAGGAUGUAAUAUAGGCUUUAUCCGUACGAAUCAGGAGAUUUUUAAGAAUAAAGUACUAAUUUUAUAAAUAACUAUUUAU
rnacentral:rRNA from 2 species